rnacentral:lncRNA from 1 species
UUCGAGAAGCCCAAGAAGUGUAUGUUCUAAUAUUUAAUUUCUGAUUAUCUACAUAUUUAAUUUCUGACUUUUGAUUAUCUAUAUAUAUAUAUUAAUUUACAUGUGUCAAUGGUUGAGUGGCUACUUAGAAGUGUUAGUGUACACCCAGCCGCACUGAAUUGGACUCCAACCCAUCUAUUUUCAGACUCAACACAUUCCAGAGUUGUUUUCCUUACGUAGCCUCCCUCACUCAACCACUUCAACCCUAGAAAAGCCACCAUUGAUUUGAACCACCACAACCUCCACUGCUUCAAUCAAACCAUUCUCACAUAGCAAAAAUCUCUUUGGCGUCGCACCUCCAUCGUCAUCGGUGCACAGCCAUCGUCAUCGUCGCACGGCCAGAGUCAUCGUCGCACAGCCAUCGUCAUCCCCGCACAGCAGCGUCAUCGUCGAACACCAGCGUCAUCGUCGCACACCAGCAUCAUCGUCGCACAGUUGAUUGAUGUUCGAGAAGUCCAAGAAGUGUAUGUUCUAAUAUUUAAUUUCUGAUUAUCUACAUAUUUUUCUUUUGAUGGAUGUUCUGAUUUCAAUUUCUUGGAAUGAACUUUUAGUUGUGGGUUUAUCUAUAUAUAUGAUCAUAUUAUAUUGAGAAGUUCAAAUUUGAAAGUUAGCAAUUAACUUCUGAGUCUCAAUUCCAAAUAACACAGCAGCAGAGGAUUUAAUUAAUUACCUUCCACCAUAGCCUCUUUCCAGAACAACCACGCCUCUAUUGCCAAAGUUAUUCAGCCUCUCAAAUUGCUCCACUGUCCAUUUGUUCCAUCUCAUGAGAAACACUCUCAGUGUUAGGCCAUGUGAAAACCAAUUGAAAAUUUAGAAGCGACCGUAAAGCAUUCGAAUGGCUUUCUCUACUCUCAUCUUCUCCCUGUCCUGAAAAUUCCCUUUUUAUGGAAAAAAUUGGAACAAAGUCUUGUUAAAAGUAGUGUUCCAAUUGUUUUUAGUAAAUUGACACUUACCGAAGUCUUGCUCUCUUAGCCGAGGCUCUUCUGUCUAGGAGGGGGUGCUUUAGUACUAGUAGCUGACUUCCUAUGCAAGUGCUUUUCAGGAAAACUAGCCAACCUCACUUUGUAUUUUGGACAGCUGUUCCUAAUUGAUUCUCAUAUAUUUUGGCAUUUGAAAAUCCUCAUUUCUGUUGUUGUGAUAUCUCACACAACCUUGCAAUUAUGGUAAUUUUCUUAUUCAAUUCUUAUUUUGAUCAUCUUGUAUCCUAAAAUUUGUGUUGAUUAAACUGCUUUUAUGUGCAGUAUGGGGACAUGCUGGAAAACUGGGCAGCCUUUAAUUAAAUGGAAAUUAUGAACUUGUAUUUUGGAUAGCCUUUCAUUUCUUAGUUUUAUCAUCUUGUAUUCAUUUCUUAUGAACUUUAGAAUGUUUGUUUUGAUGGAAAUUGUGAACUUAUAUGCAUGCUGGAAACUGGACAGCUUUUGAUUAAAUGAAAAUUAUAAACUUGUAUUUUGGGCAGCCUUUCUUUUCUUAGUUUUAUCAUCUUGUAUUAAUUUCUUAUGAACUUUACUACUUUAGAAUGUUUGUUUUGAUGGAAAUUGUGAACUUAGA